GAUGAACGCUGGCGGCGUGCCUAAUACAUGCAAGUCGAGCGAACAGACGAGGAGCUUGCUCCUCUGACGUUAGCGGCGGACGGGUGAGUAACACGUGGAUAACCUACCUAUAAGACUGGGAUAACUUCGGGAAACCGGAGCUAAUACCGGAUAAUAUAUUGAACCGCAUGGUUCACUAGUGAAAGACGGUUUUGCUGUCACUUAUAGAUGGAUCCGCGCCGCAUUAGCUAGUUGGUAAGGUAACGGCUUACCAAGGCGGCGAUGCGUAGCCGACCUGAGAGGGUGAUCGGCCACACUGGAACUGAGACACGGUCCAGACUCCUACGGGAGGCAGCAGUAGGGAAUCUUCCGCAAUGGGCGAAAGCCUGACGGAGCAACGCCGCGUGAGUGAUGAAGGUCUUCGGAUCGUAAAACUCUGUUAUUAGGGAAGAACAAAUGUGUAAGUAACUAUGCACGUCUUGACGGUACCUAAUCAGAAAGCCACGGCUAACUACGUG
rnacentral:rRNA from 1 species